AAGAAAAUUGCGUUUUACAUACGGAUUAUUAUAUACGGAUUUUAAUUCGUAUGUAUUAAACAUGUUACAUACGGAUAUUACAUACGGAUGUAUUACAUACGGAUUUUCCGUAAGUAAUGGAAAAAAAAAUUACAUAUGGAUUAUCUGUAUAUAAAAUCCGUAUAUAACUUGGCGCGUUUGGGCGGGAACAAUUCCAAAGAUGUUAUAUAUGGAUUUUAAUUAAUUAAUAAUUUAAAAAACUUUAGAAAAAACCGCGAGCUUCUUAUAACUUUGAAAAAGAAAACCCUAAUGAAUCCCUCACUCACUCACUGACUCUUCCUUCUUCCUUCAUUUGGGAUAAAAGAAAAGCCCACAAACCCUUUCUUCUUCCUUUUCUCGGAUAGAAGAAACCCUCACAUGUUUUGGUUUCCCAUCUCACAAUCUUGCUUCUUUCUUCUUCCUUGCCUCCUUGUAGCCACGCGUUCUUCAUUUCCCACGUCUUCAUUCAAACNGCAUCACCAGCCACGUCCAUUUUCUCUCUCGCGCAUUAGAGAAAGCAUCUUCGUUCUCACGUUCUUCUUCCGUGAGAGCAUUUUCUUCGCGAGAGCAUUUUCUUCUCGAGCGCUCACCAUCAACCGUAAGCUUCCUUUCUCUUCAGAGAUUCACCAUCUUAUUUCAUUUUUCUUCCUUGCCUCAGCCUACUCAACAUCAAAUUUNCUCUUCCACUGAUUAUUUUCAUCUCCUUCUAGGGUUUCGUCAUCCUUUCACCAUUUUCUUGAAGUUUCACCGAUUAAAUCCUCUUUUACUCCGUUUAAAAGCUUUUCCUCCGAUUGAAAACUCUUUUAUCACCAUUAUUCAAUCUCGUUUUUGAACCAAUUAUUCCUUCUGUCCAGAUUAGGGUUCCUACUCUAUUUAGGGUUUCUAUGAGUCCUAUCUCUGAUUUGGUUUGUUCUCCUUCAAAUUCUCUCUUCUAUUUAUGCCUAGGNUUAGUGCGAAGAAGACAUGAGGCCACGAGAUCGCUUACAAUGCGGAGAAGACACGAUGCCAAUUUUUAUCAAUUUUUUUCACCUUCUCUGCAUAAAGAAAUUUCUUUUCCUGCUUUAAGAAUAUUGUUUAGUAGGAUCGUGGAACUAAGGAAAUUCACAUGAUAUCCAAUUUCUUUUGCAGGUUGGUGAGAGGGGGAUAGAAAUAAAGGAUUGCAAUACCUCGUGCCAUAGUUAAGAAUCCAUCAAUCCUUUUACUAGAUGAAGAAACCAAUGCUCUGGAUGUGUUAGUUAGUUGUAUGAACAUUGAAGAAUAUUGAGUCAUCAAUGUUUUUAUCAUAUCAAUCAGGGUUCAUUAUCUACGUAAAGUGAUUUAUGUGCUUUAAGUUUGAAAUGUGGUUAAAUUCGAGACAUUAUUUGCAUCUAUGUAGAAUAUAAACCUGUUGCGAUGACUGAAGCAUCUUUCUUGUUUUUAAUUUUUUCCCCUUUUAUUUCUUUGUGUGUCCAUUUGUGUGAUUUCUUCAUGAUGUUGGUUUGUAUUGGUUGUAUAUGCGUGUUUAGGAGUUGAUGAAUUUGCAGAAUUGUAAAAGACCUAAAUAUGUUUAGUAGAAGUCUUGGGAGGUAUUUAUAGAACUUGUUGAGAUGAAAUCAAUCAUUUUAAUUAUAUGAAUUUUAAUGUGUCUAUUCAGACCCUAAUGCUGAAGUUAUAGCCUUGUCCCCUAAGAGUCUUCUGGCCACCAAUAAGUUCAUUUGUGAUUUCAAAGAGAGCAAAACCUGCAACACCAUAGAAGAGGGCAGAAUUUUUCGUGGAAGCUGAAGCAGAGAACAAGCAAAGAGGGG
rnacentral:lncRNA from 1 species